AUCUGGGGCAGCGAGCUGUGCGUCUGGCAGCGCAGGUCCAGCAGCGUGGGCCCCAGGAAGGCGAUGCACAGGCCGAAGCUGAAGAAGACGCUCCAGUAGAGUGUUCAUGGCUUUCAUUGGACCCUCGAGAGGAUAAGCAUUUUAGACAGAAAACCUUGGAACUAUCCGAUCUGCACCCGAAGCUCCGCCUGAGAGCUGGUCUUCCCCGGCCGCAUCCCUGCGCGCUGGACAGGUGCAGGAAGGAGGAAGAUGAAGGUGGCUAUAGAACUGGCGAGUCCUGUGUGGUCCUGCUUCUGAGGGAGCCAGGGUUCCUGCAUUGGCCCCCGGAGGCGGAGCAGUAAGGUCCAGAGUGUCACUUCUGCUGGUGGUGGCAGGAACCACGACAUCAUGCCCACUUGGCCCUCCAGGGGGACCAGAGCUGAAAGGGCUGAGGAGGUUGGGGGGCAGGGAGGGAGUGCUCUCCUGACAACCUGGCACGAGGAGGGGGCAAUCCACUUUUCUUGCAGGGCUGGUUUCAUCUCACAGAGGCACCAUCCCUCCUCUCCUCUGAGCACAUGGGAGCAGAGCCCCAGGGCCUCUCUGGCUCAGUGGGUUGAAUUCCAGAACCACAGAAGCUCCGAGUUGGAAAGAACAAUCUCCAAAUUGAGUCCCCUAUCCUCUCCCCAUAGUUGCUGAUAAAUGCUCGUCAGUCCUGUUCUUGGCUGAUACCUCUUACUGUUGAGGACCUUACCUAUCAUCUCCUGUGGGUCUGCUUCCAACGUGGGUCAGCUCCAGUUAGGAAGGGUUUCAUGCCCAACUGGAAUGCCCCUCCCGGUGACUCCCCACCGCCACCCACAGGACAAGUCUAAUUGCUCCGCGCAUGUUAGCCCUUCACACACACUACCUGGCCCCAGCACUUGGCUUCUCCAGCCCAAACACCUAAAAUUCUUUCAUAAUUUCUAUAGAUGGUACUCCCCAGAUCUAUCACCCUACUGGGGCAGCUCCUCCAGCCACAGUAGCCGUGACCCUGGUACGGUGCACCGUGAGGCAGCCCAUAGUGUCUGGGGUGCUAGAGGCAUUCUAUAGCUUGAUCCGGGUGGUAGUUACACAGCUAUAAACAUAUGUAAAUAUUCAUUCUUGUACAAACAUACGCAUGCUUAUGAUUUGUGUCUUUUACUGUAAGUUACAGUUGGACAAAAUAGUGGAAAGUAAAAAUAAGUAAACAAAAGCAAA